rnacentral:rRNA from 1 species
CGGGUGAGUAACACGUGGAUAACCUACCUAUGAGACUGGGAUAACUUCGGGAAACCGGAGCUAAUACCGGAUAAUAUUUUGAACCGCAUGGUUCAAAAGUGAAAGACGGUCUUGCUGUCACUUAUAGAUGGAUCCGCGCUGCAUUAGCUAGUUGGUAAGGUAACGGCUUACCAAGGCAACGAUGCAUAGCCGACCUGAGAGGGUGAUCGGCCACACUGGAACUGAGACACGGUCCAG